rnacentral:rRNA from 1 species
GACGAACGCUGGCGGCGUGCUUAACACAUGCAAGUCGAACGAUGAAACCUAGCUUGCUAGGUCGAUUAGCGGCGGACGGGUGAGUAACACGUGGGUAACCUGCCCAUAAGACUGGGAUAACUCCGGGAAACCGGGGCUAAUACCGGAUAACAUUUUGAACCGCAUGGUUCGAAAUUGAAAGGCGGCUUCGGCUGUCACUUAUGGAUGGACCCGCGUCGCAUUAGCUAGUUGGUGAGGUAACGGCUCACCAAGGCAACGAUGCGUAGCCGACCUGAGAGGGUGAUCGGCCACACUGGGACUGAGACACGGCCCAGACUCCUACGGGAGGCAGCAGUAGGGAAUCUUCCGCAAUGGACGAAAGUCUGACGGAGCAACGCCGCGUGAGUGAUGAAGGCUUUCGGGUCGUAAAACUCUGUUGUUAGGGAAGAACAAGUGCUAGUUGAAUAAGCUGGCACCUUGACGGUACCUAACCAGAAAGCCACGGCUAACUAUGUGCCAGCCGCCGCGGUAA